UUAAUAGCUCAGUCGGUAGAACGUGAAACUCUUAGUCUUAGGGUUAUGGGUUCGAGUCGCACGUUGGGCAAAA